rnacentral:lncRNA from 1 species
AAAUUGAAUAUUAUACAAUUACUGUCUUUUGAUGAGGUAAAUAUGCGGUUUUACUGACUUUUGAAAAAAUGAUAUUCAUUGAGGCCGACGGCCGAAGUGAAUAUCAGUUUUUCAAAAGUCAAUAAAACCCCAAAUUUACCGAAACAAAAGACAGUAAUUGUUUUAUUCCAUAUUCCGAGAAAAGAAAAUGUAUUUAAUGACAAACAUAUACCAAAACAAAUUUUUACACGAAACAUUUUACCAUAACGUUGCAUGUAAAAGCGCGUGACGUUUAGCGCGG